rnacentral:misc_RNA from 1 species
GAUGAAGAACGUAGCGAAAUGCGAUAAGUAAUGUGAAUUGCAGAAUUCAGUGAAUCAUCGAAUCUUUGAACGCACAUUGCGCCCGCUAGUAUUCUGGCGGGCAUGCCUGUUCGAGCGUCAUUUCAACCAUCAAGCCCCAGGCUUGUGUUGGGGUCCUGCGGCUGCCGCAGGCCCUGAAAAGCAGUGGCGGGCUCGCUGUCACACCGAGCGUAGUAGCAUACAUCUCGCUCUGGGCGUGCUGCGGGUUCCGGCCGUUAAACCACCUUCAUAACCCAAGGUUGACCUCGGAUCAGGUAGGAAGACCCGCUGAACUUAAGCAUAUCAAUAAGCGGAGGA